AUACCUUUCUCGGCCUUUUGGCUAAGAUCAAGUGUAGUAUCUGUUCUUAUCAGUUUAAUAUCUGAUACGUGGGCCAUCGGCCCACCAUGAUAUUAAAUUAAUUUCUCGUUGGGGGAGGGUUUACUGCAGUGGCUUGCCGCUGAAGCCCUCAUGCGUCGCCCACGCGUUGCACUACUGCGCGGGCCUGGCGCACCCCUA